ACAAAAAACCAGGGCUCCCUGGGUUAUUUAAAUAAAAUGGGGAGUCGGACCCUUGCCCCAGUGACCUAAAGGGGUUUAAACGGCCCGCGGUACACUGACCGUGCAAAGGUAGCAACAAUCAUUUGCCUUUUUAAUUGGAGGCUGGUAUGAAUUGGUUUGACGAGGGCUGAGCUGUUUCUUCUGGAAUAUUUAAAAAUUAACUUCUAGGUGAAAAGGCUUAGAUUUAGCUGAGGGACGAGAAGACCCUGUUGAGCUUUAGUGUGGCAUAAAAGGCUUUGCUCCUACUUUGGGUAGAGGGCCGGAAUUUAUUUUUACAUCUUUAGUUGGGGUGACUGGGGAACAAUAAGUAGCUUCUCUGUUUUUGUCGAGUUGAAUUCGGUUUACUGACUGGUGAUCCAGCAUUGUUGAUUAUCGGAAAAAGUUACCACAGGGAUAACAGCGUAAUCUUCCUGGAAGAGUUCACAUUGAAAGGAGGGUUUGCGACCUCGAUGUCGGAAUUAAACGUGUCCUGAAGGGGUGUAGCAACUUUUCGUUGGUUUGGUCUUGUUCGAACAUUAAAAACCUUUACGUUGAAUCUGAG
rnacentral:rRNA from 1 species